CCCCACGAAUCCUACCAUGUUACUUCCCUUGCUUAAAACCUUAGUAGCUUCUCAUAUUAUGUUGCCACCCUGUUGAUUUUCCUCAUAGCUCUUAACUCACAGGAAUUAACAGUACUUGCUCUGUCCCCACUGGCGUGUAAGCUCUUUGAGGGCAGAGACCUUCUGGUCAGUGCUGUAUCAUCACACCUAGAACAUGGCCCGGCACAAAACAGGUGCUCAACAAGCACUUGUUAAGUAAACAUCUCCUACAAUACUCCUAUGAUCAUGUGGUUUUACAAAACUUAAGAGUUUUAAAAUCCAUUACAACUCUUCAACUCUAAGAUGCAUUUUCCAUCCCCUACAUUUCUACCUUUUUCCAAUCAGGACAUAGCUUACAAAUGAUAUACUUAAUGUAGUAGGGUUUUUCCACUAUUUCUCCUCAAAGGGCAUUUAAUAAAAUGAAAGUAACUUUGCAAUUGAGAAAAUAUGAUAAAAAAAUACCUUUAGGUGCAAUCUUUCAAGAGCCUAGGCACGUAAAACAUCCUGUCUACUUAAUUCUCACAACCUCUGAUGAUAGGAAUUCACAUGGCUAAUAAUGGCAGUCAGAGUUCCAACACAGACCUAUCUAGUGCCAAAGCUACAUGCAAUCUUUUUACUACAUUCCACAGUUGCUCUGUCUUACCUCUGUGUAACAGACGGAAACAAAAUCGUAUAAAACCACAGAAUUCACCUACAGUAUGAGGCAAUCCAAUUAAAGGAAAAGUCAUUCUCAGAACAGCUUUUAUUUAGUUUCAGAUUUGCAAAGGGAGACGUGACAUCAAGUUUGGAAGAAAGCUGAAUUACUGGGACUAACAGAGUGAAAAGAAUAUGGACUUUCAAGGAAUGGGGAAUAGGAAGGCCAGAAAAAUUUCCUUACUCCUUCUUCAAAGAUGAUGAAAUACAAAAUGACCCCAAAUGAAGCGGAUAGAACAAUCAGUGUUACAAGGUGUUAAAGUGUUCUUUCUUUUAAGAAACAAUGGUGACUAUGAUGACAGAAAACAUAAAAAGGUGAAGCUGCCUGUUAGUGCUCUUAUUUUGUGAAAUUUUAUUUUACUAGUUUCUGAAAUACCCAAGUGAAAGAACCUGUAUUAGAAACAAUACAAGGAUUACUAAUUUUGUAAAUAAUUAGAAUGAGAUUUGUAAAAAUAGGGAUGCUGUAUGCUAAAUAUAAUUUUUAUGAUUCAGAAGUUUACCAGGAUCUGAUAAAUGAAAUUAAGAAGCCAUCUCAUCAAAUGCAACCAAGUGAUGCUUUAAUUAAUGUCUAUAUUGAUAUAGAGAAAAUUAAAAACACUUGGCUUUCCUUCCCCCCCAAAAGAACAAAGAUCAAAUUGAAGUACAGAUGAUUUCUCUUCCAUUACAAGAGGCACAGGAGAAAAAGAAGACUCUGUAUCUCUUUUUGUUUUUACUGAUUUUCCGUAUGGGCACUGGCUUUCAGCUAAGAUGAUGCUUAUACAUACCUAACUUUUCUUUCUUUCCUUUUUAAGUUACAUUCCUGUAAGAGUGUGCUUUGAAGUAGUUUCUGAAAGUCCUAAUUUAGAAUUUUUGAUUUAAUUUAAAAACUGCUUUAUGACUGAAACAAAUGUACUUUACUUUUUAAAAAUAUCUCUAUUUUUAUCUUUAAAAAAAUAUAUAAUCAAAUAGAAUGUAUUAUACACC
rnacentral:lncRNA from 1 species